CCUACGGGAGGCAGCAGUGGGGAAUCUUGCGCAAUGGCCGAGAGGCUGACGCAGCGACGCCGCGUGGGGGAUGAAGCAUUUCGGUGUGUAAACCCCUGUUGCUCGGGACGAACGACCGGUUUCGACCGGUGUGACGGUGCCGAGUGAGGAAGCACCGGCUAACUCCGUGCCAGCAGCCGCGGUAAUACGGAGGGUGCGAGCGUUGUCCGGAAUCACUGGGCGUAAAGGGCGCGUAGGUGGUUAGAUGCGCCGGUGGUGAAAGCGCAGGGCUCAACCCUGCGUCGGCCAUCGGGACGGUCUGACUGGAGCACUGUAGAGGCAGGUGGAAUUCCGGGUGUAGCGGUGGAAUGCGUAGAGAUCCGGAAGAACACCGGUGGCGAAGGCGGCCUGCUGGGCAGUUGCUGACACUGAGGCGCGACAGCGUGGGGAGCAAACAGGAUUAGAUACCCUGGUAGUCCACGCCGUAAACGAUGGGCACUAGGUGCUUGGGGGAGCGACCCCCUGAGUGCCGACGCUAACGCAUUAAGUGCCCCGCCCUGGGGAGUACGACCGCAAGGUUGAAACUCAAAGGAAUUGACGG
rnacentral:rRNA from 1 species